GACAGAGGUGCCAAGCGUUAGGCGGAAUCACUGGGCUUAAAGCGUGUGUAGGCGGAUCGUUAAGUACCUUGUGAAAUCCCACGGCUCAACCGUGGAACUGCUCGGUAUACUGGCGAUCUUGAGCCACCUAGGGGCAACUGGAACAAGCGGUGGAGCGGUGAAAUGCGUAGAUAUCGCUUGGAGCGCCAACGGUGAAAACAGGUUGCUGGGGGUGUGCUGACGCUGAGACACGAAAGCCAGGGGAGCGAACGGG
rnacentral:rRNA from 1 species